rnacentral:rRNA from 1 species
AGCGAACGCUGGCGGCAGGCCUAACACAUGCAAGUCGAACGAAGUCUUCGGACUUAGUGGCGGACGGGUGAGUAACACGUGGGAACGUGCCUUUAGGUUCGGAGUAACUCAGGGAAACUUGUGCUAAUACCGAAUGUGCCCUUCGGGGGAAAGAUUUAUCGCCUUUAGAGCGGCCCGCGUCUGAUUAGCUAGUUGGUGAGGUAAAGGCUCACCAAGGCGACGAUCAGUAGCUGGUCUGAGAGGAUGAUCAGCCACAUUGGGACUGAGACACGGCCCAAACUCCUACGGGAGGCAGUAGUGGGGAAUCUUGUGCAAUGGGCGAAAGCCUGACGCAGCCAUGCCGCGUGAAUGAUGAAGGUCUUAGGAUUGUAAAAUUCUUUCACCGGGGACGAUAAUGACGGUACCCGGAGAAGAAGCCCCGGCUAACUUCGUGCCAGCCGCCGCUGUAAAAC